UGCUCAGGCACUGCCUCUGACCACGCAGAGACGUGUCCAGGUCUCCCUCAGGUCAGUGAGUGACCACCUUCUUGGCUUCUCCCGGGUGAUCUUGGCGACUCAGCUCCUCCUCUGGACUGAUGAGCAGCGUCUCAAGGCCACAGGUGAUGGAGAGGACACAGGUGGAGAGUGACCCGCAUGAGGUCCCGAGGGAGGAGACCCCUGCGUCUCCAGUCCUGACCACGGUCCCUGACAGAGGACAGACAGUGACAGCGACUGCUCCUCGCUUCCCAUCCUCACCUUUGAAACUGACACUGGACAAUGUGAAGAGACAGGACCCCACUGUGCAGAAUUGUCAAUAAAAGGUCUUCAUAGAUCUCUGAAGGAGGAGAGGAUUCACUCCUGUCCAUCACACCUGCAGUUCUGGAGAGUCAACUGGAGAGGUGCAGCAGAGGGUAGAGCUUAAGCGCCCUGCCCUGGGCUUUCUAAAGAGUUCUGAGGACCACAAUAGCAGGCAAUUUACCCACUCAGUGAUGAUGUGCUCUCAUGUCCUGGACAGCGACAGAGAACCCCAUGUCAGGUGUUUGCUUCCCUGAACACAUGGCCCCAGACCAUGAAAUGAUUGUAAUUUAACCUCUACCUCUCUCUGUAAAAACAAUUCUAGACAAGAAAGAAUAGGGAGAAAAAUUGCAAAAGACAUAUCAGGGAUGGCGCUAUUAUUUGAAAUACACAGACAAUUCUUAGAACAAACACCUCAAUAAAAAUUGGGGCAAUGUCCUUAGCAGACCCCUCACCCAAGGUGAUACACAGUCGACUCAUAAGCAAGUGAAGAGAUGGGCCACAUGUCACAUCAUCUGGAAAUACAAAGGACAUCCACAGUAGCCCCCACGGUAACCCCUCUGGGAUGCCUGACUCUAGAACAGUGACACUUCAUCACAACAUCAUCUGCCACUGAGAUGUGACUCCAGGGACUGCCUCACACAUCACUGUGGGAACGCAAAUUGGUGCCAUCACUUUGGACCACAGGGUGCUGGUUUCCUACAAGAUAAGCACAUUCCUGCAUGUCAUCCAGCAACUGGACUCCUUCGCAUUUCCCCCAAAGGGUUAAACAUCCACAUUACACCCGACCUCAGAGCUUAUGGGACUUUAUUCAUAAAUUAAGAAUUUGGGAGAGUCAGGUAUCCUCCAUGGGGUGGUGAAUAUAUAAAUAAACUGUUGCUCAUCCAGACAAUGGAUCAUUGCUCAACACUAAAUGAUCCUCACCACGAUAUUUGAGGGAGUCCCCGAUGUCACAUCAUCAUGACAGGUGACGAUGUGAGGAGGGGUCACUGUCCAUAGUCAGGCAUCCUAGGGGGUGACUGUGUGCUGCUGAUAAUUUAAUUUGUGAUUCCUGAUUAGACAAAAAAAAAAAAGGCACGGAAGAAAGUUAAUUUUAAGGGCAGAAAUCAGACUGAAAAAUGUGCAUGCAUGUGACUAUCUGAAGGACAUUCAGGGGAAGGGGACACAGUGGGGACAGUAAUGACCUCAAAAGCUAUGGAGGGAUUAAGAGGUGGAGCAUGAAGGAAUUUGAAACAGUGAAGCUGCUCUGUGGACACUGUCAUGGGGGCACAUGCCCUUGUCAACUGCAAACCCUUAGCUUGUGCAGGAGCCGGGGCAGGUCCCCUUCUAGUCUGUGGGAUCAGUGUCUUCAGCUGGAACAUCUGUACACCUGCUGGGGAGAUGAGGUCAGCUUGGGAGGAGGGUGUUAUGGGAAAAUAAUUAUGCUCAAUUUCUAGGAAACUUAAUCAUCUGUGUGUGUGUGUGUGUGUGUAUUUUAUUUUAAAAACUUCUUACUCAAACUACAGUGGCUCCCUACCACUGUAUGACCUCAUCAGGUCAUAGGCAGACAGCUCAGGUGUCAUCAGCUCUGUCUUUAUUGAAUCCACAGAGACAUUGUUUUCUCUGUGCUGCUGGACUAGGAGGGAAAGAGAGUUAGGGACAAAGAGCCACCUGCUCCUUCUACCAGACCCUUCAGUCCUUCGAAGUGAGACUCCAUCUGAGAUGUGCUCUCAGAAGAUAGAAGCAGCUGGAAAGUAGCUGGGCUGCCCAGCCUCACACAGCUGCUCCCUGGGUGGUUUUUGUUCAGGCUUGUGUCACUGUGGGAGGUUUACUAUUCCACUGAUGACAGAAGUAAGUGGCCACAUCUUCAGGCUCCACGCUGCUGAUGGUGAGAGUGAAAUCUGUCCCA